rnacentral:rRNA from 1 species
GACGAACGCUGGCGGCGUGCUUAACACAUGCAAGUCGAACGGUGACGAGGAGCUUGCUCCUCUGAUCAGUGGCGAACGGGUGAGUAACACGUGAGCAACCUGCCCCAGACUCUGGGAUAACAGUUGGAAACAGCUGCUAAUACCGGAUACGAGACGGAGAGGCAUCUCUACCGUCUGGAAAGUUUUUCGGCCUGGGAUGGACUCGCGGCCUAUCAGCUAGUUGGUGAGGUAAUGGCUCACCAAGGCGACGACGGGUAGCCGGCCUGAGAGGGCGACCGGCCACACUGGGACUGAGACACGGCCCAGACUCCUACGGGAGGCAGCAGUGGGGAAUAUUGCACAAUGGGCGAAAGCCUGAUGCAGCGACGCCGCGUGAGGGAUGACGGCCUUCGGGUUGUAACCGUACUUUCUAGCA